rnacentral:rRNA from 1 species
CCUACGGGUGGCAGCAGUGAGGAAUAUUGGUCAAUGGGAGAGAUCCUGAACCAGCCAAGCCGCGUGAGGGAAGACGGCCCUAUGCGUUGUAAACCUCUUUUGUUGGAGAACAAAACCCGGGACGUGUCCCGGCCUGCGUUUAUCCGAAGAAAAAGCAUCGGCUAACUCCGUACCAGCAGCCGCGGUAAUACGGAGGAUGCGAGCGUUAUCCGGCUUUAUUGGGUUUAAAGGGUGCGUAGGCGGUCCUGUAAGUCAGCGGUAAAAUUGCGGGGCUCAACCCCGUCGAGCCGUUGCACCUGGCAGACUUGAGUGGGCGGGAGGUACGCGGAAUGCGCGGUGUAGCGGUGAAAUGCAUAGAUAGCGCGCAGAACUCCGAUUGCGAAGGCAGCGUACCGGCGCCAGACUGACGCUGAGGCACGAAAGCGUGGGGAUCGAACAGGAUUAGAUACCCCUGUAGUC